rnacentral:lncRNA from 1 species
CGCAAGCUUCCGCCCUUGGGCGCGGCCUCCGUGUGCACGUCACCUGUGCGCGUGUUGCCUGGGGUUAAUCUUAUGGCGUUCCUUUUUGUGCUUUCUGCUUUCCUGUCUGCAAAUUGGACUUCCUACACCCUCAAGCGCUACUCGUGUUGAAGAGUCACAUACUACAGGGUGAAUUUAAUGUAUAAACUCUGGAGCAUCCAUCUAACCAGUUUCAUCAGACUAACAGGACCACAGCAAGAAGUUUGGAGGCCCCUGUAACUCCUACGGUCAAACCAAAAUGCCGACUUCUUCCAGUCCUUUUAGUAAGUAAAUUCUGAUAAAUGUUAUAAAAUGCACAAUCUUAAGAUUCUUGUUCCUGCUUCU